ensembl:lincRNA
GAAACUAGCCGUGAAGGCGACACGCGUCGGUUUAUUCCGGUGGGGGCAGAAUCCGGCGCGAACCCCCCGGGGUCAGGCGUGGGGCCGGCUUCCAAACGGGUGUCCCCGCCUCCGCAUGGAUAGGUCCUGUUGUUUGGAAGCAAAACAGAUGAGCUGUCACGCGCCCCAGUCGAGACUUCCCCUACCCGUAAAAAGAGAAAGAGCAAAGAGAGAAGCCCCGAGCGUCAACAAGCCCGGCGGAGACGUCAGCGCAGGAGCGGUCUCCAGUUUCGGCGCUGGGCUGUUUUGUUUUGCAACCAGGACGGAGACCCGGGCGGCAGGAAGGUGAAGCCCGGAGAAGAGCAGGAACCAGACUUGGAACUUCUGUAUGGGAUCCCGCUGAAAACAAAAGCAAAAAAACAAAACCAAAGCCAGCCUUCCCUGCCCGGAGUGUGCGUGGAGGCCAGAGUUGGAAAAGCUCGGGUGUCUUAUCUCCUGCAGCCGCCUCAAGGCCAGGCAAAGAAACAGUUGUUAGAGACUUUUCACAGGAACUUGGAAAAAGUGCACCAAAUAAAUGUAAUUACUGUUUGUUUCUGCUACCGGGCCCGGCCAGUGGUGGGAAACCGUAUUUAUUUUGCUCAUCUUCUCCACAGUGGAAAGGCAUGAAUUCCAGCAUUACCGGCCGGAGGUGGAGUAACAGUGCCACACAGUCUGUUGCUGGGUGCUUUUGCCUCGAGCGUCUGGGAGGGCAGCUCCUUCUAUAAAAUGCGCCGCGGCUGGGCGCUGGACAUGGGACAGAGUCUGUCAAAUAAGUGAGGAUGUUUGCUGUGCACAGAGAUCGCACUCAGCACGGGGAAGCAACCCCCUCUCUGCCCUUCCGUGACGUCUGGCUCAACAGAAGACAGUGGGACGCUCCCCUCUGCUUCUGUAGGUAACUUGUUGAAAUGUUUUGGUAGAAAAACCCCGGCAGCAGCUGCAACAGGAGAGGCGUCUUGGCAGCCUCGUCGGUAACGGCCUAGGGUCUUCCUCGAUCCAGCCCUGAAACUCUUUCCUAAAAGCUGGUAGAGUGCAGCUUCUGAAACCACCCGAUGAAUCUUCUUACAGUCGCUCCCAAUGCCUUGAUCUGCCUCACGGUUUGAUCUUUGAUCGCGCUGCUUAACCGGUGCCUUUAUGAUGCGACAGGAAAUAAAGGCUCCCCCAGUCCAGAACUUCCCAAAGGCGACCUCCUCACGCGGCCCCAGAACUUGCUGUAGUAUCAUCUCAAGGUAUCGGGGAGCUGUAGAGCCCGCCUUGGUGAGUGGACCUUUCCCCAAAUUAGAUUUAAAUUUAAUCCAAAGUUAUUUUAAAGUUUGAUUUUGUCCACUAACAAGAGUUGUUUUGCUUAGAGUGCCAGUCUUACUUCGCUCACAGUUGAGAAAAGAACUGUCAAGUGCUAUGUUGGUCUAUCGGUUUCGAGUAAAAAUGGCACAUCAUGAAAAGCAGAAUUGCAGCUUGCAAUUCAGACAAUAGCAGGAAUACUUUUCCCCACGGUAGCCAUCCUAGUCUGCACAGCUUCCUGUUGGCUGGCAUGUGCCGAUAAUUCCUCCAGGCAGUAGGCUGAGGCAGGAGGAUUUUGAGUGUAAGGCCGGCCUGGGCUACGUAAUAAAAAGAUAUGUACUCUGGGUCAAGGUCUGAUGAAAUCGCUUUAUCAAUAAUCCUUGAGUGAAUCUGUCGUCUCUUUUUGCUGACCGUGUUUGGCAGAGUUGAGUAUUUGCCAUGGCCUUGCCUUGGGAAGAAGCUAGCAUUUCACGCUGCACCGCUUUUGUACCGCCAAUGCAAGGGUCCGCACAGUGCAACAGCGGUCUUAGGGUCAGUCAGGAAAGAGGUUUGACCUCGCAGGCCACCCCGUGUGUCUCAGGGGACUCAGAGUUGUGUGGACCACAUUUUGAGAAAGGUCGCUGACAGCGCUUUUCAAAGUCACGCUUUCAUUUUCUUGUGUAAGAACAUCUGAGGGUGGGGCGGAGCUCAGUGGGAGCGCGCUUGCUUGGCGGCACGAGGGGUGGGGUUCCGUUCCUAGCAGGUAAGUAGGAUGGAAAGACGGGGAGGGAGAGAGAGAGGAAGAAAGAAAAAAGAAGAGAGAGGGAGGGAGGGAAAGAGGGGGAAGGACAGAGAAAGAAAGAAGAAGGAGGGCCAGGGAUUUAGUUAAAAAAAAAAAAAGAAUUCAUUUUGGAAAUUAGACCGUAUCACUUUAUAGAGAUCGCCUGUGUUCAUUUUUUAUAAGUGCAUAGUACUCCACUGUUAGAUGUACCAUCAUUUAAUAAUCUCUUAUGUUUGCACAUUUGGGCCGUGAUUGUAAACAGUUUCACCAUGAGCCACCUGUUCUUGGACAGCUGUCUACAAGUGCGAUCACUGUGUCGGAAACUGAACACACACGGUUACGUUAGGUAUUGACAAAGUCUGCUUCACAAGUGAUGUUCCAGUUUGCAUUUCUAUCAGCAGUGGCGGGGGGGGGUUCCAGUGUCCCCACAGGCUUGGCAACAGAGUGUGUCACGGAAGAGAGACAUGUAAAUUAACCCUGUGGUAGACACGGGCGAUCUCCACAGCCAGCAGCAGCCUUUGCUCGGGACUUCCUCCUGCAAUAAAAGAUUUUGGGUCAAUGGAACUGGAACUGGACCCCAGCCAAAGAUGGAACGGAGCCCUUAUCCGGGCGGCGCUGAGGACCUGGGCUGUCUCUUUUAGGAAACUCAAAGGUGGGACUUGCUUAAUCAGACCUGGCUGUAUACCAACCAAAAUAGAUGUAAGGAUACGGAAAAAAAAAAAAAAAAAAAAAACCAACAAGAAGAAAGUCAAGUCCAAAAUAGUGUAAAAUGUCACAUUUCAAGUCCUU